rnacentral:rRNA from 1 species
UUCCUUAAGUCUGAUGUGAAAGCCCACGGCUUAACCGUGGAAGGUCAUUGGAAACUGGGGAACUUGAGUGCAGAAGAGGAGAGUGGAAUUCCAUGUGUAGCGGUGAAAUGCGUAGAUAUAUGGAGGAACACCAGUGGCGAAGGCGACUCUCUGGUCUGUAACUGACGCUGAGGCUCGAAAGCGUGGGGAGCAAACAGGAUUAGAAA